AUUUCUUUAGUAUAAC
rnacentral:tRNA from 1 species